AGCAUUUGAGUAAAGACUGGUAAUGUUACAUCCUGGUAGUGAGUUAAUGGGACACAUGAUUUAGCACCAUUUUAGUCCUAUAGAAUACAUUAUUUAUCUGUAUCUUCUGUUUAUUUCUCUCAUUCUGUAUGCAUCUCAGAUGAACACAAAUGCUCAGAGACAGCAGAGAAUAACAGAGAAAAACAAGGGAACAG
ensembl:lncRNA